CUCACUUAGCCGUUGAGUGUCUCUCUUCUCUCUCUACAUUCAUCUCUCCCUCUCUAUCUUGUGCUCUCUCUCUUUAUAAAAAUCACAAAAUGAUACCUAACCUCGGUCUCACACUCUCUCCCUAUCUCUCUUUGUCCUUUUCUCUCACUCUCCCUUUCUUGAUUUCUCCCUUCUCUCACCCUCUAUCUGUUUCUCACAUUGUCCCUCUCUUCAAGGUCCCUCGUGUUCUUCUGCAGAUCCAGAUCAUUUCGCCCAUGCCAAAUCAAACUCUCGAUAUGGCCAUCAUCGUGAAAACAGAGGAUUAGGGUUUUUACCAAUGGAUUGUAGUAUUGUAUUGAAAAUCACAUGCUCACUUGUGAUGAAGGAAGUUGUACAUAUUUGAUGGUACGUAGCCUAUAUUAAUUUAAAAGCAGGACAAUUAUUCUCCCACUACUCAUUGUCGCCUAUUGGUUUAAGAAAAAAAUUAAAAUCUUUGUGAAUCUCUUAGGUUUCUCUUUUAUUUUUUACUUUACAUACGUUUAAAUGAUCUGUUAAUAAGAACACUCUAAUUUGGAUGUGCUUUCUCCUUUGAACUCUCCUUUGGAAUAGAGCAUUGUAAUCAGGACCAUGUAGAAACUAUAAUAGACUCGCAAUAUGGUUGUGCACACACAUAUUCUGCACGAUCUGUGUGAUCUUUCAAAUAUGAAAGAUCAGAUUGAGAAAUCCAAAGAUCAAGCUCUAAGUAGGAUGGUUGGACAAUAAUGUAGAGAAGUGGAGAUAUGCAACCGAGGAGAAGUGGCUGGAAAAAUACGGAAGGGUAAAAUAUACGGAAGGGUCACAAAAGAAAGAAUUUUGUACAUACCGUCUUUUUUCAUUUUUGUCACUUUGUUCUAGAUUUUUAUUUUAUAGCAUUUAUUUUGUUUAGGUAUAAAGGUUUUUUUUAUUUUUUAUUUUUAUUUUGUAGAAGACUAUAUCCUGUAGGUCAAAUGGAUGCAUAUGGACCACAAAUCCAAAUUUAUGAAUGAUCUCGUGAACAACAUAGGAAACCUAUAAUAUGAAUGGGUAAUGUAUUUUUCAUA